GUUUACAAGUUUCUUGGCGAUAUGGGGGGAAAGUUCCUCACAUACCAACGGAAAAUGGGCUUCAUAUACAUGCUGCUGUCUCAUAAUAUGGCGAAGACGAGUCACCUGAAGGCCUAACUCGCCAUAGAAGACUGAAAGAAUUGUCCUGCAGGAUGCUGUGUCCUGCAAUCCUGUGUGCUGUGCUACAGACGCGUGUGGAGGUCAACCCAAAAUGGGCACAGUCUCACCACAGAAGAGUGAAAGAGGAUCCUGGCAGGGAGACGGUAGUGUCCUGCAGAAUGGUGAUGGGCCAAUCUUACAAGAGACCACAGAAAACUGAUAUAGUGAACUAUAGAAACAACAGUGCCUGCUGCAGUAUAACGAGGACACCCUGAGCAGAGAGCUCCAAUAGACCCAGGUCCAGUGUCUUGGCAGGGUGAAAUGGCACUGAUAUGGUGUCCUGCAGGAUGCUGUGUCCUGCAAUCCUGUGUGCUGUGCUACAGACGCGUGUGGAGGUCAACCCAAAAUGGGCACAGUCUCACCACAGAAGAGUGAAAGAGGCUCCCAGAAGUGAGACUGAGUGCCUGUUGCAGUAUGACGAGGACGCAGUGACCAGAGACCUUCAGUAGACCCUGCUGGCAUGAUUGGUGGCUGAAGAACAUGAAAUCAACAGCAAUGUUUAUAAUGUUGUACAUACCUGUAUAGUCUGUAUUAAAAGGCAGUACCUGUA